GGCUCCUUGGCCAAGCGGCAAGGCACCAGUCUUGUAAACUGGGGAUCGCGAGUUCGAUCCUCGCAGGGGCCA